rnacentral:tRNA from 1 species
GGCCAGUUAGCUCAGUCGGUUGAGCACGGUGCUGAUAAACCAAGGUCGCGGGUUCGAUUCCUGUUCGGUCCC